rnacentral:rRNA from 1 species
CCUACGGGAGGCAGCAGUGGGGAAUAUUGGACAAUGGGCGAAAGCCUGAUGCAGCAACGCCGCGUGAAGGAUGACGGCCUUCGGGUUGUAAAGCUCUUUUUACAGGGAAGAUAAUGACUCUACGUGUGGAGUAUGCUACGUAUAACUCCGUGCCAGCAGCCGCGGUAAUACGGAGGGGGCGCGGGUUGUCCGGAUUUUCUGGGCGUAAAGGGGGCGUAGUGGGGUUUUUAAGUCAGAUGUGAAAUCCUCCGGCUCAACCGGAGAGUUGCAUUUGAAACUGGAAGUCUUGAGUACAGGAGAGGAGGACGGAAUUCCUAGUGUAGCGGUGAAAUGCGUAGAUAUUAGGAAGAACACCAGUGGCGAAGGCGGUUCUCUGGACUGCAACUGACGCUGAGGCUCGAAAGCGUGGGGAGCAAACAGGAUUAGAUACCCUUGUAGUC